CUGGCGCACGGGAGGCAACCUGGUGGGUAAUGGCGAACGGGUGAGUAUAUAUCGGAACGUGCCCAGAUCGUGCGGGGAUAACGUCAGCGAAAGCUGUGCUAAUACCGCAUACGAUCUACGGAUGAAAGCGGGGGAUCGCAAGACCUCGCGCGAUUGGAGGCGGCCGAUAUCAGAUUAGCUAGUUGGUGGGGUAAAGGCCCACCAAGGCGACGAUCUGUAGCUGGUCUGAGAGGACGACCAGCCACACUGGAACUGAGACACGGUCCACACUCCUACGGGAGUGCAGCAGUGGGGAAUUUUGGACAAUGGGCGCAAGCCUGAUCCAGCAAUGCCGCGUGCAGGAUGAAGGCCUUCGGGUUGUAAACUGCUUUUGUACGGAACGAAACGGUGAGCUCUAAUAAAGUUUGCUAAUGACGGUACCGUAAGAAUAAGCACCGGCUAACUACGUGCCAGCAGCCGCGGUAAUACGUAGGGUGCGAGCGUUAAUCGGAAUUACUGGGCGUAAAGCGUGCGCAGGCGGUUAUGUAAGACAGAUGUGAAAUCCCCGGGCUCAACCUGGGACCUGCAUUUGUGACUGCAUAGCUAGAGUACGGUAGAGGGGGAUGGAAUUCCGCCGUGUAGCAAGUGAAAAUGCGUAAGAAUAUGCGGGAGGGAACACCGAAUGGCGAAGGCAAUUCCCCCUGGAACCCUGUACUUGACAGCCUCAUUGCACGAAAGCGUUGGGGAGCCAAACAGGAUUUAAUUACCCUUGUAGUCAACGGCCCUAAACGAAUUCUCACUGGGGUGCUGGGUCUCACAUUGACUCCGUAAAAAACUAACCCUAAUUGACGCCGGGGAGUACGCC
rnacentral:rRNA from 1 species